UCCCCGCUCCGCGCUUCCUCCGCCGCUUCGUCCCCUUUCUUCUCCGCAGCAUUGCCGCUUGAUCCCCCGUGGUCGAUCGGGCCAGGGCUCCGUCGGCCGCGCCUCCGGCGGACGGAUCCCCGUUUGCAGCAGUCGGGUGCCUGGGUCCGCGGUCAGCGCCGCGGCGCGAUGCGGAUCGGGAUCGGGAGCCGGGACUGUCGAUCUUCCGCGAUGGCGCGAUCUCCUAGUCCUAGGAAUCCAAAUCCUGGGAAUGAAUUGUUGACUGCAGUUGUGGCUUGCUCGUGGAUUCGUUUAACCAGCGGGAGAUUUGCAAAAAUGGGACUGCAAACAUUGGCCUUUGCAGUUUUGCCAUUGACCCCACAUUUCAUAGGCACAGAUGGUCCCACCGUGUCAUUCACUGGGAGUGGCAAAUUCACGAGUGGUCAGGGUUUGCAGUCCUAAUAUUACAAUUUUUUCUUUAACCAGCCCCCCAUCUGGCGCAGUUUGGGGAAUGUUAACAUCAUAUUCACCACGAAAUAAUAAAAAUAACAAAUAAUAACUGGGCGAUAACAUUUGUUACAUUUCUACUUGACUGAGGACUGAUCCUGCACAAGUUUUGCAGAAGAUAAGCCUGAACCUGUAC